AUUACUUAUCAAGUGGUGACCAUGAAUAUAUACAAGACAUAACUAGUAUUCAACAUUGGUACUAUGAUACAAGUCAUAAAAAUGAAGCAUUCGAAGACUUAGAAAAUAACAUAUUUAGCGAAUUAUAACAGGUCAUGGAUUACUUUGAACAACAAAAACUACUAUACGUAGCCUGGUAAUUGAGAAUCUUAAGAAACAUUACAAAGGGUUACCCUCUAGCAGGUAUGUCCCUUACUUCUUUCACCUUGAUAAAAGUAUUCAUUGGAUGUUGAGUUUCAGAAAAUAACAGAUAUGUCCUGUCUUCCGUAAACAAGCAAAUGUGGCAGAAGAGGCUGUUAAGAGAGUAACCGGUUAAGCCCACCAUUCCAAUCUAUAUUUGAGAUAUGCACAAUGGACAUGCCAUCUUUUGCUGGUAGUCCAUCAAACACAUCAGCAGAUGCAGUUGUACCUGUACAUGUGCAAGUGCAAUAUGACACAAAACAGUGCUAUUAUGAAAGUGCUACAUAGACUCGUGAUCCUGGGUUACAAAAUGGUUUGGUAGAUAUUACUCUAGCGGAUAAUGUACAACAGAAUGAUGAAACAGGCUUGGGGAACUACACGGAAAGAACAGUUUCUAUGCAGAGAAUUGCCAUUGGAGCCAGAGACGGAUUUGGUGGGGGGGGGGGGGGGGGGGGGGGGGGGGGGGCGGGGCUGGGCUGUAGUCCCCCCCUCAGGCCCAAGAACAUUUUUUUUUAAGGAUUUUUUUUAUUUUUUUGGGGUAACUAGUUUUUUAUGUGUAAAUUUUUUUUCCCCGCGUAGUAGCUCGGUUUGAAAUUUUGUAGCCCGAUUUUGGAUCUAAUCCUGGAUCCGUCCCUUUAGAGCCUCGCUAUCUCUCCAAUUGUUCAUCUCUCUCUUCCUCCACUAUUCAGCCCCUUUCUUAACUAUGACUAAACCAACAUUGAAAAAACUAGAGCAGUGGAAAUUCCACCUAAUUCUAAUGGAAAUGGAAGCAUUUCCCAACUUAAUGAAAGUGUAAACCAUCAUUAGUUGUAUGGUAGAUGAUCAAGAUCUAUGAUAGCUUGUUCCUAGCAAUUUCUUAAUAGAUGAGAAAAUCACGUAGCUAAACUUAAUCGUAACAUACAAAAUUGACCAUUAAUCUGAACUUAAUUCAUUUGUAAGAGACUGACCAUUAACCUCAUAAACGAUUUUGCAGCAAUUCAGAAGAGAUUGACCAUUAAUGUCAUAAACGAUUUUUUGAAAAAGAUGAGAUAAUCAACUAGUCGUCUUCCACAUUGUCCAACCAUCCCUCCCGAUUUUCCAGCAAUUCAGAAAAAGUGCAAGGUCCAUAAAUAGUUAAAUAUUCAUUUGAACUUAAUUCAUUCAGACUUCAUUGAGAUAUAUUUUUAGCAUGAAAUUCAGGUAAAAUUCAGGUAAAGUAUACAAUAUACAGACAGGUAGGGCAUUAAAGUUCAGGUGAAAAUCUUUCAAAAAUCACCAAUUUGGAGAUAUAUUUUUGCGCAUAAUUUGAGGACAAAAAACUGAAUUUUACAAAGAAAAUCAUAAAAUUUAAACUUACAUCUUCUUCUUCCAUGUAAUACAACUUGAAAUUUGAAAGGUUUGGAUUUUUUGGAGUAAAAUUGCAAGCUGUAAAGAACGGCUGUCGGGUUGCUUUGCUACAGGUAGGGCUUAUGUCUGUGAAGGAGAAUGAGAUAAUGGGAUUUUAUAUAACGUAUGUGGACCAGGCGGUUUCUUUGUAAUUGGGCUAGCGGUUUAGUGAAAAACCGAUGGAUCCUUUAGAUUUUUACCGGGUCAGCAGCAGAGUUAAAAAAUUAGGCGGCUCAAACUGAAC
rnacentral:lncRNA from 1 species